UACAGAGGUCUCAAGCGUUGUUCGGAUUCAUUGGGCGUAAAGGGUGCGUAGGCGGAUUGUUAAGUCAGGGGUGAAAUCCUGGAGCUCAACUCCAGAACUGCCUUUGAUACUGGCGAUCUUGAGUCCGGGAGAGGUGAGUGGAACUGCGAGUGUAGAGGUGAAAUGCGUAGAUAUCUGGAGGAACACCGGUGGCGAAGGCGGCAUCCUGGACCAACACUGACACUGAGGAGCGAAAGCCAGGGGAGCAAACGGG
rnacentral:rRNA from 1 species